GAUGAAGAACGUAGCGAAAUGCGAUACGUAAUGUGAAUUGCAGAAUUCAGUGAAUCAUCGAGUCUUUGAACGCACAUUGCGCCCCCUGGUAUUCCGGGGGGCAUGCCUGUCCGAGCGUCAUUGCUGCCCUCAAGCACGGCUUGUGUGUUGGGCCUCCGUCCUCCUCCCGGGGGACGGGCCCGAAAGGCAGCGGCGGCACCGCGUCCGGUCCUCGAGCGUAUGGGGCUUCGUCACCCGCUCUUGUAGGCCCGGCCGGCGCUUGCCGACACAUCAAUCUUUUUUCCAGGUUGACCUCGGAUCAGGUAGGGAUUCCCGCUGAACUUAAGCAUAUCAAUAAGCGGAGGA
rnacentral:misc_RNA from 1 species